rnacentral:rRNA from 1 species
CUGAAGACCUAGCCUGUAGCAUUAUUUUAUGUGAUGUGUAUACAUAUAUACUGUCAGUUCUAUGUUAAAAUAUUUUUGCAGCCUAGUAGAGAUGAUUGAAAGGUUGAUAAGAGCAAUAGAUAUUGUACCGCAAGGGAGAGAUGAAAUAAUUAAUAUUGAAGCGUGGAGUAGUAGAGGUUAACUCUUGUACCUUUUGCAUUAUGGUUUAACUAGCUUAGUCAAGCAUAAGGAUUUAAAGUUUGAGACCCCGAAACCGGGUGAGCUACUUUGUGGCAGCUAAAUGAGCUAACUCGUCUCUGUUGCAAAAGAGUGGGGAGACCGCUAAGUAGAGGUGAUAGGCCUAACGAAUUCGGUGAUAGCUGGUUUCUCAAGAAAAGAAUUUUAGUUCAACUUAAAGGCGAUCUAAUGUGUGUAGAUGCGAGUACGACUUUAUAGUGAUUCAAAUAAGGUACAGCUUGUUUGAAGUAGGGUACAACCUUUAUUUGUGGGUAAUAAAGUAUAUUAAUAUGAAGUGGGCCUAAAAGCAGCCAUCUAAGUUAAAUGCGUCAAAGCUUUAUUUUGUGGUAUAUUAAAAUUUUUAUAGAGCCCCAAUUUCACUAUUGAGAAUUUCUAUAAUAGUAUAGAAGGUUUUAUGUUAAAAUUAGUAACAAGAAGUGAUUCUCUUAAAUACAGGUGUAGGCUAGAAUGGAUUUGCCGCUAGCACUUAUUCAGCUAUAAGAAGCAAUAGUAACUUUUCUGAGAAAACUCUAUUAUCUUAUUCUGUUAAUCUUACACAAGAGUAUUUCAAGAAAGAUAGAAGUGAAAAGAAGGAACUCGGCAAACAUAGAUCUCGCCUGUUUACUAAAAACACCGCCUCUUGUUUAUCAUAGGAGGUCCAGCCUGCCCAGUGAGUAAUUCAACGGCCGCGGUACCCUGACCGUGCGAAGGUAGCGUAAUCACUUGUUUUUUAAAUAGAGACUAGUAUGAAUGGUAUUACGAGGAUUAGACUGUCUCCUUUUCAUUAUCAGUGAAAUUAAUCUCCUCGUGAAAAAGCAAGGAUAUUGUUGUAAGACGAAAAGACCCUAUGGAGCUUCAGAUAAUUAACUAACCUGUGGUGCGUCGCUACGUGAUAUAGUUAUGAGUUUUUGGUUGGGGUGGCCGCGGAGAACAGCUAAUCCUCCGUGAUGCCUUAAUUAGAUUGAGUGACAACUUUGUUUAGCAAUAAAUUGAUGUUUUGACCCAAUAUUUGAUCAUCGAACUAAGUUACCCUAGGGAUAACAGCGCAAUUCAUCUUGAAAGCCCUUAUUGACAGGUGGCCUUACGACCUCGAUGUUGGAUCAGGGUAUAUCCCAGUGGUGCAGCCGCUACUAAAGGUCGC